AUUUUGUAUCUCGUACUUUCGAAUUCCCGCGAUUUUAUUCGUGUGGUUUUUGUUAUUUAAUUGUACGAGAUAUAUAGACUGGUGGAUGUUUAGAAAUCGUUUGCUUAUAGACGACGGACAUCUGUUCGCGCUAUUCAUCGAUUUCGAUAUUCAAUACGAUGGGUUUAGGAUUUAAUUUCGCAGCAGUGUAAAAUGUUUCAAUUACGUUACUAUUUUCGCUGUUUGUGAAAUGCUUAAAUUCGAUUGUAUUCUAAACUAUGUUGAAAGCGUUGCGGUCAGAGAUGCAAUUUCGUAAAAAGAAUUGCGUUGUCGCGCUCGUUUUCGGCUUGUCGGACYGGCGAAAUUACUUUGAACAAAUUAGAGUGCUUAAAGCAGGCAAAUUUUAUGCCUUGAAUAUAAACAGCAUGGAAUAAUAGAAUAUGAUCUCGAUACUGUUUGUUUAAUGUUUUUCUUAUCUUCGGAUAGAAAGGCAUUUUUCGUUUGAUGAUAUGCGUAAGCGUAUUGUGAGGCGAAAUGAAAUUGGCUUAAAGUGGCAAAGUUGGGAAAUCUUAAAUGAUUUUCUUUUUGUCCACGACAGUAU
rnacentral:rRNA from 1 species